GAGAUUGAAAAAGAGGCACUUAUGAUGGAAGGAAAUGUGAAUGACAUAUGAAGAUGCUUUUAGAAGAGGGAAUCUAUUGGGAAAUCCAAUAAAAGGAAGAGAAAAAGGUUAGGUAUACGAUGAAAUUGGGAAAUGAUGGGCACUAUCACUUAUGUAAGAGUCGGUGAUAUAUAUUUUGCCCCACAAUAACCCAUCAAAGAACCC
rnacentral:lncRNA from 1 species